rnacentral:lncRNA from 1 species
UGUAAUCGACUUCUUGAGACCUUUGUCUCCUGACAGUCGACUUUUCUGGGAUCGACUUCUGAGGUCGACUUCCCUUAUUAAGUUCGAUUCCCCUAAGUCCAGGUCGACUUUUCUUGGGAUCGACUUUUGCCUUAACUUGGCCUGACUGCUCUGCUCUUCGUGCAGGUUUUACAAUGUCUUCUGACAAAGACUUGCAACAAGAUGCUCCUCAUAUCCCCACAGAUGCAACAAAUGUCGAGGAGGUUCGGAAUCCUUCUGCUGAGCCAGAGUCUGUUCAGCCUGCUCCUGUCGUACCGGAGCCUCGAGCUGCGCCUUCCGUGCCUAUUGGAAGUAGGAAAAAAAUGCUUUCCCGUCGUACGCGCAAGCCCGUACCUCCUAGUAAGUUACUUAUUUCUUAUUUAUUUCGUAACUUAAUUUUUAUUUCUUUCUUUUUUGUUUGUAGGUGCUCCCCCUUCACCCCCCGUACGUUCCUGUUCGGGGUCUUCCACAUCUACCUCGGGAAGCUCGGGUUCUUCUUCCUACUACUCUUCUUCCUCGGAGGAUGUAGAUAUUGGAGGAACCCCUCCCUCCGUUGUUAGGACUCCUCCUUCUACUAUCAUUUUG